UGAAUCUCCGGCGAGGCCUUUCCCGCCCCCUGCCGCCCCAGCAGCAGGGGAGGCUGGGGUCGCUUGCCAGAGAAGCAAAGUCGGGAGGUCCGGUGGCCAAGCGAGAGCCGUGGGGCUCAGGCUGGUGGCACCGUCACUCCAGCGGGCUUGCCGGGCGACGGGGCGGGCAGCUGCCACGGGGUCGGUGAUCUUUGCCAGUCUGGUCCAGCACUCACCCUCCUUACCCUUUUGCCCCAGCCCCUGCCCGUGGCGAAUUCCGGAGUCCCCUCCGCCGCGAAGAAUCACCGCGCAGGCUCGUGGGAAGUUGCGAUUGUAUUGUUCUUUACCGGGCGCGGCGAUCCAGACCGACCCGGUUCUGCGGAGGGGUCGCCGGAGGAGGUGUAACAGUGGUCUCCGGCUGGUCUAGAGCCGGGCGGCUACGGCUCUCCAGAGUGCCCCGCCUCUGUCCGACUGUUCCGAGAAGAUUAGCAGGAGGCAUAGCAGUCAUUGUGAUCCUGUUCAGAAGCUACUUUGGCCAAAACCAUCCAUUGGUACUUUGUACACUUUAAAAUGGUUAAAAUGAUAUUAUGAAGUCUUCUGAUUACCUCAUAUAAAAAUACAAACCCUUACUUGGCAUUCUCUAUCCACUCACCCUGUGAUAACAGUCUUAGAGCCGUCUGAUGUUACUUACUUGUUCACAGGGAACUCUUUUUGAUAUCCCGUGACAAACCAUAAUGGAAAAUAACGUGAAAAGAUAGAUAUAUAACAGUCAUUUUGCUGUACAGAACAAAUUAACACAACAUUGUAAAUCAAAUAUACUUCAAUAAAAUGAGAAAAAUUUAUAAACCACAAAAGUGAAAUUAUUACUUGUUAUACUGUCUGCUGUCCUUCUCUAGGAUAAAGUUUCAUAAGGUCAGUAAUUUUGUUUUGUUCACUUCUGUAUUCCCAGCAUCUAAAAACAGUGCCCUUAUAGUAUACAGUGCAGAUAGUAAGUGCCCAAUAUAUAUGUGUUGAGUGAAUAAAUGAAUGUUUACUGAACUAAAUAAUUUCAUUUUUUUAAUGAACUACAUAAGAAUUCCAAGUUUCUGUCUGGAAAAAAAAAAACUUCCAAAGCUUAUAAUUAAUCUUUUUACUUUAAUUGACUUUAAAAUGGAAUGAAAAUACCAUUUUUGUUAUUGUAUUGGUUUUGCUGAUUAUUUUUAUAUGCCCAGUUAAUUAAAGGAAUUAGUAGAUUGAAUGGGUUAUAUUUUCUUUGUAAAAACCAAAUUGCUUUUUCUCAACUACUCUGUGUUUCUGUUAAUAUUUAAAAAUAUUAUUAAAACACUUGGCACUUGUCAUUCACUG